AUUGAACGCUGGCGGCAGGCCUAACACAUGCAAGUCGAGCGGAUGAAGGGAGCUUGCUCCUGGAUUCAGCGGCGGACGGGUGAGUAAUGCCUAGGAAUCUGCCUGGUAGUGGGGGAUAACGUCCGGAAACGGGCGCUAAUACCGCAUACGUCCUGAGGGAGAAAGUGGGGGAUCUCCGGACCUCACGCUAUCAGAUGAGCCUAGGUCGGAUUAGCUAGUUGGUGGGGUAAAGGCCUACCAAGGCGACGAUCCGUAACUGGUCUGAGAGGAUGAUCAGUCACACUGGAACUAAGACACGGUCCAGACUCCUACGGGAGGCAGCAGUGGGGAAUAUUGGACAAAGGGCGAAAGCCUGAUCCAGCCAUGCCGCGUGUGUGAAGAAGGUCUUCGGAUUGUAAAGCACUUUAAGUUGGGAGGAAGGGCAGUAAGUUAAUACCUUGCUGUUUUGACGUUACCAACAGAAUAAGCACCGGCUAACUUCGUG
rnacentral:rRNA from 1 species